rnacentral:rRNA from 1 species
GAUGAACGCUGGCGGCGUGCCUAAUACAUGCAAGUAGAACGCUGAAGGAAGGAGCUUGCUCUUUCCGGAUGAGUUGCGAACGGGUGAGUAACGCGUAGGUAACCUGCCUGGUAGCGGGGGAUAACUAUUGGAAACGAUAGCUAAUACCGCAUAACAGUAGAUGUUGCAUGAUAUCUACUUAAAAGGUGCAAUUGCACCACUACCAGAUGGACCUGCGUUGUAUUAGCUAGUUGGUGAGGUAACGGCUCACCAAGGCGACGAUACAUAGCCGACCUGAGAGGGUGAUCGGCCACACUGGGACUGAGACACGGCCCAGACUCCUACGGGAGGCAGCAGUAGGGAAUCUUCGGCAAUGGACGGAAGUCUGACCGAGCAACGCCGCGGGAGUGAAGAAGGGUGUCGGAUCGUAAAGCUCGGUUGUAAGAGAAGAACGAGUGUGAGAGUGGAAAGUUCACACUGUGACGGUAUCUUACCAGAAAGGGACGGCUAACUACGUG